AUGAAUUUCUAUAAUCUUGUCAUUAUCCUCUAAUCCAAUAGACGCAAUUAUUUCCAAAGAAUCAUCCAAUCCAUUUUCUUCAUAAACACCAAAAUUCCUCUCAUCAUCUUCUAUUGUUCCUAACUUGCGUAAUUUCCUUUCAAUAUUAUAUAUAUAUUUUUCUUUCUUUUCUUUUUAGUUCAUCAACUCACUUAUACAAAAUAU
rnacentral:lncRNA from 1 species